rnacentral:rRNA from 1 species
UACGUAGGGUGCGAGCGUUAAUCGGAAUUACUGGGCGUAAAGCGUGCGCAGGCGGUUGUGCAAGACAGAUGUGAAAUCCCCGGGCUCAACCUGGGAACUGCAUUUGUGACUGCACGACUGGAGUGCGGCAGAGGGGGAUGGAAUUCCGCGUGUAGCAGUGAAAUGCGUAGAUAUGCGGAGGAACACCGAUGGCGAAGGCAAUCCCCUGGGCCUGCACUGACGCUCAUGCACGAAAGCGUGGGGAGCAAACAGG